rnacentral:sRNA from 1 species
CCGCCGCCCAGACCGGACGACAGGCCACCUCGUCGGCGUCCGCCCGAGUCCCCGCCUCGCCGCUAACGCCACAACCACCGCGCACGGCCCCCUGACUCCGUCCAGUAUUGAUCGGGAGAGCCGGAGCGAGCUCUUCGGGGAGCAGCGAUGCGACCCUCCGGGACGGCCGGGGCAGCGCUCCUGGCGCUGCUGGCUGCGCUCUGCCCGGCGAGUCGGGCUCUGGAGGAAAAGAAAGUUAAUGAUCCUUUGCCUGGACUUUCUAAGUGCCCAGAAGAGCAACAGCCAGCAUGCAGGAUGGCAUUCCUGACCAGUUGCACUUGGCCUAGCAUUCCAACCUCACCUGCCUCAGCUUGUUCAACCUGAAAACCUACAAAGUGAAAGCAAGAGCCACGUGAAGACGCCUUAGUUAUAUGCACCCACCCAUACACUUGCUCAGAAAGGAAUCAGUGGGG